rnacentral:tRNA from 1 species
GGAAGAGCGAUGCCCCUGGUGGGGUGCCUGGCCUUCAAAGCCAGUGAGAUGCUUUAAAAAGUGUCUGGUGGGUUCGACUCCUACCUCUUCCGCCA